rnacentral:lncRNA from 7 species
GUGCUGCCAGUUACGUCUGGAGCUUCCAGAGAAUCUCCAUUACUACUCUGACAGUAGCUGAGACCCAUCUCACUGCUGAUACAUCAUUACAGGAACAACUGUUUACAGGAGUUCAAAUACACAAUAACGUUGGCUUGAAGAUCAUCCAAACUCUGAAGAAAAGCUGGUGUUUGAACAUGGUUUCUCUAUAGUGCUUUCCCUGUGCAGCUAAGACCUUUCAAAGAUGGGACUACCAAAAUAAGGCUGUAAUCUUUUCAUGUUAAGCCUCACAAAACACUUCCGCUUUGAUAACUCAGUCAAAUUCAUCAGGUAACAAGGGGCUUGAUUUACUUAUCUCAACUCGUAUGUAGUCCUGUGGUGCCUUGUAAUAAUUAAUGACUCUCUUCUGCAGAUGUUUCAGAGGCAAAAUGGUGGUGUCCUAUCAUGGCUUGGAUUUUAGUUUUCUCAAAGAGUCUUUCGAAAUAAAAGCUACGUUUUGCAUCAUAGUAUUAUGGUUUUAUGGAAAAAAUAAUUUGGCAUUAUCUUUUUGAUUUAUUCCAUACAAGAAAGGAUCUAUUGGAUGUAGUUCAUUUCCUUCAGCUGUAGCUAAACGUGUAUCAUUCAAACAGCAUGAACUGAAACCCAGUCCUAUUAUGUAAUUCAAACCUUUGUUAUUGCAUCAAAUUAUAUUUCCACCUAUCUCAGAUUUAUGGAUGGUUCAUGUUAUCUAAAUAUAUUAUUCCUGUCUUUACUGUAAUUCAAAUCAAUUAGUUUCUGAUUUUCAGGCAAUAUGAAGUUCAGAUUUGCAUAGAAGCUGAAGUGUAUAAUUGUGUACUAUGGUUUUCAAAGUUCAGACUGAUUCUUUUUAAACAAAAAGUUCAUAUGGCUAUUUCAGCCUUAAAUACUUUGUGUCAUGUUAAAUUUGCUUACAGUUUUAGUUGUAAAUUCGCAUCAGGGAUUAAAAGUUUAUUAAACUGUAG